UAUACGGAAAUUCGGUUUUUUUACCCCUCCGCCAAAAAUAUUAUUAUAUAACUAGAAAACCCGGCGAUCUCCGUUUCGCCACCAAAUUGCUUCGUUUUAUGUAACAUUUCGUUAGUUUCAAUACUACCCAAAAUUUCGUCAACCGGCAAACCCAGCUACGUUGGAGCAUUGUAAAAAGCGAAAAACAAAUGGUUCUUGCCUUAUAAUUGUUUUUGUAAAUUCAUAAGCGGUGCGUUGAAUUUGAUGCUUGGCUGAAACGGUCGCGGUUUCGCUUUCGAUUCGAUCAGAAUACAUUCAGGAAUAAAGGGAUGUCCAACUUAUUCCAGUGUGAGAGCGCCUCAAAAGUAGCGUUUUUUAUAACGUUUUCCGUUAUGGCCAGAUCGGGAAAAGUAAAAAUCUUUGGGCAUUUAAAUUAAAAUACC
rnacentral:misc_RNA from 1 species